AACGAACGCUGGCGGCAGGCCUAACACAUGCAAGUCGAGCGAGGACUUCGGUCCUAGCGGCGGACGGGUGAGGAACGCGUGGGAACGUGCCCUUUGCUUCGGAAUAGCCCUGGGAAACUGGGAUUAAUACCGGAUGAGCCCAUUCGGGGUAAGAGUUAUCGGCGAAGGAUCGGCCCGCGUGGGAUUAGGUAGUUGGUGGGGUAAUGGCCUACCAUGCCGACGAUCCAUAGCUGGUUUGAGAGGAUGAUCAGCCACACUGGGACUGAGACACGGCCCAGACUCCUAGGGAAGGCAGCAGUGGGGAAUCUUAGACAAUGGGGGAAACCCUGAUCUAGCCAUGCCGCGUGUGCGAUGAAGGCCUUAGGGUUGUAAAGCUAUUUCAGCUGGGAAGAUAAUGACGGUACCAGCAGAAGAAGCACCGGCUAACUCCGUG
rnacentral:rRNA from 1 species